GACGAACGCUGGCGGCGUGCUUAACACAUGCAAGUCGAACGGAAAGGCCCUGCUUUUGUGGGGUGCUCGAGUGGCGAACGGGUGAGUAACACGUGAGUAACCUGCCCUUGACUUUGGGAUAACUUCAGGAAACUGGGGCUAAUACCGGAUAGGAGCUCCUGCUGCAUGGUGGGGGUUGGAACGUUUAGGCGGUUGGGGAUGGACUCCCGGCUUAUCAGCUUGUUGGUGGGGUAGUGGCUUACCAAGGCAUUGACGGGUAGCCGGCCUGGGAGGGGGACCGGCCACAAUGGGACUGAGAUACGGCCCAGACGCCUACGGGAGGCAGCAGUGGGGAAUAUGGCACAAUGGGCGGGAGCCUGAGGCAGCAACGCCGCGUGCGGGAUGACGGCCUUCGGGUUGUAAACCGCUUUCGCCUGUGACGAAGCGUGAGUGACGGUAAUGGGUAAAGAAGCACCGGCUAACUACGUG
rnacentral:rRNA from 1 species